UCACAGGCCCAGCCACAAGUCUCCUAAUAAUGAGCAUUGGAGUGCUCAUCAUCGUCUACCAAAUACUUUGGCGAAACCACAAUUACUUGAGAAAACAGCUGAACACAUGGUUGGUGGUGGUGGUGUUCUUCUCUGCAAGUCUCCAUUAUUAAGCUAUGUACAAGCCCUAGUUUAUCAAGCUACCGUCUUUGUCUAUGGGGAAGCUUGUUCAAGAUCUAAAGAAUGGAUUUCGCCACUUGGUUGAGGCCUUUGCGUCUUGCAAAUGUUAUAAAGGAAAUGAAGAUGGUGAAGAAGAACCCAAGAUUCAAUCUUCUCAGAAGAUAAGCAUACAAGUCAGAGGCGUGCGGCUUAAAGCUGCAAAGAGUCCAACGAGGCCGACAGUGCCUAAAGGUCCCCCUGCUGCUCAGACCAGCUGAUCAAUUUCAGAUUUCUCUGCUUCAUGCUAAACUAUAGUAAUUGUACUUCUCACACUUUUAAGCUAUUCAUGUAUGUUUGUAGGCUUUGGUUUUUUCUCUCUUAGAUCAACAUGUUCUAUGUUAUCAGCUGUUGGAUCUUUACUUCUAUUUUCAAAU